rnacentral:rRNA from 1 species
AGUGAACGCUGGCGGUAGGCCUAACACAUGCAAGUCGAACGGCAGCACAGUAAGAGCUUGCUCUUACGGGUGGCGAGUGGCGGACGGGUGAGGAAUACAUCGGAAUCUACUUUUUCGUGGGGGAUGACGUAGGGAAACUUACGCUAAUACCGCAUGCGACCUACGGGUGAAAGCAGGGGAUCUUCGGACCUUGCGCGAUUGAAUGAGCCGAUGUCGGAUUAGCUAGUUGGCGGGGUAAAGGCCCACCAAGGCGACGAUCCGUAGCUGGUCUGAGAGGAUGAUCAGCCACACUGGAACUGAGACACGGUCCAGGCUCCUACGGGAGGCAGCAGUGGGGAAUAUUGGACAAUGGGCGCAAGCCUGAUCCAGCCAUACCGCGUGGGUGAAGAAGGCCUUCGGGUUGUAAAGCCCUUUUGUUGGGAAAGAAAAGCAGCAGGUUAAUACCCCGCUGUUCUGACGGUACCCAAAGAAUAAGCACCGGCUAACUUCGUG